rnacentral:lncRNA from 1 species
AGCAACACAAACCCUAGUCGCCAUACACCCUAUUGGCAUUGUGAUUGGAGGAGAAGAGUAAGAGGGCGACUAAGAUGAUCAAGGCUAGUUAACCAUAUCAUCAACAACAUGCACUUCUCCAGUAAAGAGAACAUGUGGCAAGACCUUAAAAGUGAAAGCAAUGUUAGAGUCAUUGUGGAAACCAACCGCAACCAUCAAAGGAAGAUCAACCGCAACCAUCAAAGGAAGAUCAACCGCCAGACAAAACCGAGUCAGUGCGAUGAGUCCAAACCCAAUGAGAUUCAACCUGUCGAAAAGCAGGUGAAAAUGGCAUCUUACUCAUGUACAAGAAGGCUAAGCUUAGGAGAGAACCAAAAAUAAAAAUAAAAAAAUAGCAAGAAAGCUAAAGAGAAGAGCCAUGCUCCAACCAAAGUGAAGCUUAUGCAGUGGUAGGUG